GGCCUAAUGGUCUAGUAGUAUGAUACUCGCUUUGGGAAACCAACCUGCGAGUGGUCCUGGGUUCAAUUCCCAGUUGGGCCC